AGGAAGUUUGGAUUCAUCCACAUUCUCAGCCUGAACAUAGAUGAGAUCUGCUGAAGGUCAUCAAAUACCUGAACCCAGAUGGUGUAUUAGACUGGAGGCAGCUUUGAAUCCUAGAACCUGACCAGACCCCAGACCUACAUCAACCAGUAACCCUGACGAGGAGUGUUGAAUAACCCUUACAGAGCUGAGGUCUGAUGUCAUCUUCCUGGUUCAUGCGUCUGGACUGAAACCAUUUUUCUGAUGGACUGGAAGGUGGAGGUGCUGCUGGGAUGGUGUGACAUGGAUUUUUACUAUCCAAUCAGAA